UGCACUGCAUGGUAUCUGCACUCAGCAUUUUUUCCUGCUGGGGUGUUCAAAAGUCAGUGCUAUAGAAAUUCAGUAUCGGGCAUUGUUGGUUUUCUUGGCUUUGUGCACGUUAAACCUAGUAUUUCUAUUGAUAUGGUA
rnacentral:snoRNA from 1 species